AGUGAACGCUGGCGGUAGGCCUAACACAUGCAAGUCGAACGGCAGCACAGUAAGAGCUUGCUCUUACGGGUGGCGAGUGGCGGACGGGUGAGGAAUACAUCGGAAUCUACUUUUUCGUGGGGGAUAACGUAGGGAAACUUACGCUAAUACCGCAUACGACCUACGGGUGAAAGCAGGGGAUCUUCGGACCUUGCGCGGUUGAAUGAGCCGAUGUCGGAGUAGCUAGUUGGCGGGGUAAAGGCCCACCAAGGCGACGAUCCGUAGCUGGUCUGAGAGGAUGAUCAGCCACACUAGAGCUGAGACACGGUCCAGGCUCCUACGGGAGGCAGCAGUGGGGAAUAUUGGACAAUGGGCGCAAGCCUGAUCCAGCCAUACCGCGUGGGUGAAGAAGGCCUUCGGGUUGUAAAGCCCUUUUGUUGGGAAAGAAAAGCAGCAGGUUAAUACCCCGCUGUUCUGACGGUACCCAAAGAAUAAGCACCGGCUAACUUCGUG
rnacentral:rRNA from 1 species